AUUGAACGCUAGCGGGAUGCCUUACACAUGCAAGUCGAACGGAGUGGCGAACGGGUGAGUAAUGAAUCGGAACGUGCCCAGUAGAGAGGGAUAACUACGCGAAAGCGUAGCUAAUACCGCAUACGAUUGGAUCGGCCUAUAUCGGAUUAGCUCGUUGGUGGGGUAACGGCUCACCAAGGCGACGAUCCGUAGCCUGGUUGAGAGGACGACCAGCCACACUGGGACGGAGACACGGCCCAGACUCCGACGGGAGGCAGCAGUGGGGAAUUUUGCACAAUGGGCGAAAGCCUGAUCCAGCCAUGCCGCGUGUGUGAUGAAGGUCUUCGGAUUGUAAAGCACUUUUGGCAGGAAAGCGGUACCUGAAGAGUAAGCACCGGCUAACUACGUGCCAGCCGCCGCGGUAAUAC
rnacentral:rRNA from 1 species